rnacentral:rRNA from 1 species
ACGGUACAACGAGUCGCAAGACCGCGAGGUUUAGCAAAUCUCUUAAAGCCGUUCUCAGUUCGGAUUGUAGGCUGCAACUCGCCUACAUGAAGUCGGAAUCGCUAGUAAUCGCGGAUCAGCAUGCCGCGGUGAAUACGUUCCCGGGCCUUGUACACACCGCCCGUCACACCAUGAGAGUUUGUAACACCCAAAGCUGGUGGGGUAACCUUUUGGAGCCAGCCGUCUAAGGUGGGACAGAUGAUUAGGGUGAAGUCGUAACAAGGUAAC